rnacentral:rRNA from 1 species
CUUGACUGUAUCCUGGAAUUGGGUUCGGGCUUUUCUUGCGCAGUCUAGGUGGGAGGCAUUGAAGAUUUCCUUCCGGGGAAAUUGGAGCCAUCAGUGAGAGACCACUCUGGAAAGGCUAGAAUCCUAAUAGUGAUCCUUUAUUCAGGACACUUGACGUUUUCAGGUGGGCAGUUUCUUUGGGGCGAAGACCUCAUAAAAGGUAACUGAGGCGCGCAAAGGUUCCCUCAGUCUGGACGGAAAUCAGACGUUACAGAGUGUAAAGGCAAAAGGGAGCUUGACUGCAAGACCUACAAGUCGAGCAGGGGCGAAAGCCGGCCUUAGUGAUCCGACGGUACCGAGUGGAAGGGCCGUCGCUCAACGGAUAAAAGUUA